AGUGAACGCUGGCGGUAGGCCUAACACAUGCAAGUCGAACGGCAGCACAGUAAGAGCUUGCUCUUACGGGUGGCGAGUGGCGGACGGGUGAGGAAUACAUCGGAAUCUACUUUUUCGUGGGGGAUAACGUAGGGAAACUUACGCUAAUACCGCAUACGACCUACGGGUGAAAGCAGGGGAUCUUCGGACCUUGCGCGAUUGAAUGAGCCGAUGUCGGAUUAGCUAGUUGGCGGGGUAAAGGCCCACCAAGGCGACGAUCCGUAGCUGGUUGGAGAGGAUGAUCAGCCACACUGGAACUGAGACACGGUCCAGACUCCUACGGGAGGCAGCAGUGGGGAAUAUUGGACAAUGGGCGCAAGCCUGAUCCAGCCAUACCGCGUGGGUGAAGAAGGCCUUCGGGUUGUAAAGCCCUUUUGUUGGGAAAGAAAAGCAGCAGGUUAAUACCCCGCUGUUCUGACGGUACCCAAAGAAUAAGCACCGGCUAACUUCGUG
rnacentral:rRNA from 1 species